GGAGUACGCCGGCAACGGUGAAACUCAAAGGAAUUGACGGGGGCCCGCACAAGCGGAGGAACAUGUGGUNUAAUUCGAUGAUACGCGAGGAACCUUACCCGGGCUCAAACGCAUAAUGACGACAGUUGAAAGAUUGUUUCCCCUCGGGGCAUUAUGCGAGGUGCUGCAUGGUUGUCGUCAGCUCGUGCCGUGAGGUGUCGGCUUAAGUGCCAUAACGAGCGCAACCCCUAUCGACAGUUGCUAACGAGUAAAGUCGAGGACUCUGUCGAGACUGCCGGCGCAAGCUGUGAGGAAGGCGGGGAUGACGUCAAAUCAGCACGGCCCUUACGUCCGGGGCGACACACGUGUUACAAUGGCAGGGACAGCGGGAAGCCACCAAGCGAUUGGGCGCGGAACCCGAAACCCUGUCUCAGUUCGGAUUGGAGUCUGCAACUCGACUCCAUGAAGCUGGAUUCGCUAGUAAUCGCGCAUCAGCCAUGGCGCGGUGAAUACGUUCCCGGGCCUUGUACACACCGCCCGUCAAGCCAUGGGAGUCGGGAGUGCCUGAAGUUCGUGACCGUAUAGGAGCGACCUAGGGCAAGACUGAUGACUGGGGCUAAGUCGUAACAAGGUAGCCGU
rnacentral:rRNA from 1 species